rnacentral:rRNA from 1 species
GUUUGAUCCUGGCUCGAAUGAACGCUGGCGGCAGGCCUAACACAUGCAAGUCGAACGGAGUUAUAUUGUAGCUUGCUAUGGUAUAACUUAGUGGCAGACGGGUGAGUAAUGUAUAGGAAUCUACCUAGUAGUACGGAAUAAUUGUUGGAAACGGCAACUAAUACCGUAUACGCCCUACGGGGGAAAAAUUUAUUGCUAUUAGAUGAGCCUAUAUUAGAUUAGCUAGUUGGUGGAGUAAUAGCCUACCAAGGCAAUGAUCUAUAGCUGAUCUGAGAGGAUGAUCAGCCACACUGGAACUGAGAUACGGUCCAGACUCCUACGGGAGGCAGCAGUGGGGAAUAUUGGACAAUGGGCGAAAGCCUGAUCCAGCCAUGCCGCAUGAGUGAAGAAGGCCUUUGGGUUGUAAAGCUCUUUUAGUGAGGAAGAUAAUGACGGUACUCACAGAAGAAGUCCUGGCUAACUCCGUGCCAGCAGCCGCGGUAAUACGGAGAGGGCUAGCGUUAUUCGGAAUUAUUGGGCGUAAAGGGCGCGUAGGCGGAUUAGUAAGUUAAAAGUGAAAUCCCAAGGCUCAACCUUGGAAUUGCUUUUAAAACUGCUAAUCUAGAGAUUGAAAGAGGAUAGAGGAAUUCCUAGUGUAGAGGUGAAAUUCGUAAAUAUUAGGAGGAACACCAGUGGCGAAGGCGUCUAUCUGGUUCAAAUCUGACGCUGAGGCGCGAAGGCGUGGGGAACAAACAGGAUUAGAUACCCUGGUAGUCCACGCUGUAAACGAUGAAUGUUAAAUAUGGGAAGUUUUACUU